rnacentral:rRNA from 1 species
AUCUAAGUCCAUGAGUGAUAAGCGCUGAAAGCAUCUAAGCGCGAAACAUGCUUCAAGAUGAGGUAUCCCAUCGAAAGAGUAAGGGCCGUUCGAGAACAGGACGUAGAUAGGCCGCAGGUGGAAGCGGUGCGAGCCGUGCAGCCGAGCGGUACUAAUCGCCCGAGGCCUUGACCUU